rnacentral:rRNA from 1 species
GUUGAACGCUGGCGGCAUGCUUUACACAUGCAAGUCGAACGGCAGCGCGGGGCAACCUGGCGGCGAGUGGCGAAAGGUUGAGUAAUACAUCGGAACGUACCCAGACGAGGGGGAUAACGUAGCGAAAGUGACGCUAAUACCGAAUACGUUCUACGGACGAAAGUGGGGGACCUGCGGGCCUCAUGCUUUUGGAACGGCCGAUGUGUGAUUAGCUAGUUGGUGAGGUAAAUGCGCACCAAGGCGACGAUCAGUAGCUGGUCUGAGUGGACGACCAGCCACACUGGGACUGAGACACGGCCCAGACUCCUACGGGAGGCAGCAGUGGGAAUAUUGGACAAUGGGGUGAACUCUGAUCCAGCCAUGCCGCGUGUGUGAAGAAGGCCUUAUGGUUGUAAAGCACUUUAAGCGAGGAGGAGGCUACUGAGACUAAUACUCUUGGAUAGUGGACGUUACUCGCAGAAUAAGCACCGGCUAACUCUGUGCCAGCAGCCGCGGUAACAC